CAUGCAAGUCGAACGAGAGAGAAGGAGCUUGCUUCUUCGAUCGAGUGGCGAACGGGUGAGUAACGCGUGAGGAACCUGCCUCAAAGAGGGGGACAACAGUUGGAAACGACUGCUAAUACCGCAUAAGCCCACGGAUCGGCAUCGAUCUGAGGGAAAGGGAGCAAUCCGCUUUGAGAUGGCCUCGCGUCCGAUUAGCUAGUUGGUGAGGUAAUGGCCCACCAAGGCGACGAUCGGUAGCCGGACUGAGAGGUUGAACGGCCACAUUGGGACUGAGACACGGCCCAGACUCCUACGGGAGGCAGCAGUGGGGAAUAUUGCACAAUGGGGGAAACCCUGAUGCAGCGACGCCGCGUGGAGGAAGAAGGUCUUCGGAUUGUAAACUCCUGUUGUUGAGGAAGAUAAUGACGGUACUCAACAAGGAAGUGACGGCUAACUACGUGCCAGCAGCCGCGGUAAAACGUAGGUCACAAGCGUUGUCCGGAAUUACUGGGUGUAAAGGGAGCGCAGGCGGGAAGACAAGUUGGAAGUGAAAUCUAUGGGCUCAACCCAUAAACUGCUUUCAAAACUGUUUUUCUUGAGUAGUGCAGAGGUAGGCGGAAUUCCCGGUGUAGCGGUGGAAUGCGUAGAUAUCGGGAGGAACACCAGUGGCGAAGGCGGCCUACUGGGCACCAACUGACGCUGAGGCUCGAAAGUGUGGGUAGCAAACAGGAUUAGAUACCCUGGUAGUCCACACCGUAAACGAUGAUUACUAGGUGUUGGAGGAUUGACCCCUUCAGUGCCGCAGUUAACACAAUAAGUAAUCCACCUGGGGAGUACGACUGCAAGGUU
rnacentral:rRNA from 1 species